rnacentral:piRNA from 1 species
AUAGAGUUAAAGCAAGAGA